CCCCGUCCCCGAGUCCACGGGAAGAUGGCGGCGCCGCUGCUCCCGGUGUCCCAGCAGAUUCCCACUGGAAACCCGCUGUAUGAGUCUUACUACAAGCAGGUGGACCCUGCCCACACUGGGAGAGUGGGGGCCAGUGAAGCUGCGCUCUUCCUCAAGAAGUCAGGCCUCUCAGACAUCACCCUGGGGAAGAUAUGGGACCUGGCAGACCCUGAAGGUAAAGGUUUCUUGGACAAGCAGGGUUUCUAUGUGGCGCUGAGGCUGGUGGCCUGCGCGCAGAGCGGCCACGAAGUCACGUUGGGCAACCUGAGUCUGAGCAUGCCACCCCCCAAGUUUCAGGACCCCAGCAGCCCGCUGAUGGCCACGCCGCCGUCCACAGAGGCCCACUGGGCUGUACGGGUAGAAGAAAAGACCAAAUUUGACGAGAUCUUCGACAGCCUCCUGCCCGUGAACGGCCUGCUGUCCGGGGACAAGGUCAAGCCGGUCCUCAUGAACUCCAAGCUACCUCUUGACGUGCUGGGCCGGGUCUGGGACCUCAGUGACAUUGACAAGGACGGGCACCUGGACCGUGACGAGUUUGCUGUGGCCAUGCACCUGGUCUAUCGUGCCCUCGAGAAGGAGCCCGUGCCCGCUGUCCUGCCGCCCGCCCUCAUCCCGCCCUCCAAGAGGAAGAAGACGGUGUUCCCAGGCGCCGUGCCCGUCCUGCCCGCCAGCCCUCCGCCCAAGGACAGCCUGCGCUCCACGCCGUCACACGGCAGCGUGAGCAGCCUCAACAGCACGGGCAGCUUGUCCCCCAAGCACGGCGUCCGGCAGCCGCAGCCGGCCGUGACCUGGGUGGUGCCAGUGGCAGACAAGAUGCGCUUUGACGAGGUCUUCCUCAAGACCGACCUGGACCUGGACGGCUACGUGAGUGGCCAGGAGGUGAAGGAGAUCUUCAUGCACUCGGGCCUCACGCAGAACCUGCUGGCACACAUCUGGGCCCUGGCCGAUACGAGGCAAACGGGAAAGUUAAGCAAAGACCAAUUCGCGUUAGCUAUGUAUUUCAUUCAGCAGAAGGUCAGUAAAGGCAUCGACCCCCCUCAAGUCCUUGCGCCGGACAUGGUCCCACCUUCAGAGAGAGGCACUGCCGGCCCGGAUGGUUCCAGCUCCCUGGGGUCAGGGGAGUUCACGGGCGUAAAGGAGCUUGAUGACAUCAGCCAGGAGAUCGCCCAGUUGCAGAGAGAGAAGUAUUCGCUGGAGCAGGACAUCCGGGAGAAGGAGGAGGCUAUCCGACAGAAGACGAGCGAGGUGCAGGAAUUGCAGAAUGAUCUGGACCGGGAGACGAGCAGCCUGCAGGAGCUCGAGGCUCAGAAGCAGGAUGCGCAGGACCGCCUGGACGAGAUGGACCAGCAGAAAGCCAGGCUCCGGGACAUGCUGAGUGACGUGCGGCAGAAGUGCCAGGGCGAGACCCAGCUGAUCUCGUCGCUGAAGACGCAGAUCCAGUGUCAGGAGUCUGACCUCAAGUCCCAGGAGGACGACCUGAAUCGGGCCAAGUCGGAGCUGGCCCGCCUGCAGCAGGAGGAGGCGCAGCUGGAGCAGAGCAUCCAGGCAGGCCGCGUGCAGCUUGAGACCAUCAUCAAAUCCCUCAAGUCCACGCAGGACGAGAUCAGCCAGGCCAGAAGCAAGCUCUCCCAGCUGCAUGAGAGCCGGCAGCAGGCCCAGCGGAGCCUGGAGCAGUUCAGCCAGGCCCUGGACGGGGCCCAUGGCGCCAGCCUCACCGACCUGGCCACCCUGAGUGAAGGCAUCUCCCUGGCAGAGCGGGGCGGUUUCGGAGCCAUGGACGACCCUUUCAAAAACAAAGCCUUGUUAUUUAGCAACAACACCCAGGACUUGCACCCGGACCCUUUCCAGACCGAAGACCCCUUCAAGUCCGACCCGUUCAAAGGCGCGGAUCCCUUCAAAGGUGACCCGUUCCAGAGCGACCCCUUCGCAGAGCAGCAGGUUACGUCCACAGACCCCUUUGGGGGGGACCCUUUCAAAGAAAGCGACCCGUUCCGCGGCUCCGCCUCCGACGACUUCUUCAGGAAACACAGCAAGACCGACCCGUUCGCCAAGAACGCGUCCUUGCCUGCCAAGCUCGACCCCUUUGAAGCCAGCGACCCCUUCUCCUCCAGCGUCUCCUCCAAAGGCCCAGACCCCUUCGGAACCCUGGACCCCUUCGGGAGCGGGACCUUCAGCAGUGCCGAGGGCUUUGCCGACUUCAGCCACAUGUCCAAGCCCACAUCCUCCGGGCCUUUCACGUCCUCCGUGGCAGGGGCAGGAUUCCCAGAUGACCCCUUUAAAAGUAAACAGGACACUCCCGCUCUGCCUCCGAAGAAACCUGCUCCGCCACGGCCUAAGCCGCCCAGCGGUAAAAGUACACCCGUAAGCCAGCUCGGCUCUGCAGACUUUGCCGAGGCCCCCGACCCGUUCCAGCCACUCGGGGCCGACAGCGGCGACCCCUUCCAAAAUCAGCAGGGCUUUGGGGACCCGUUUAGUGGAAAAGACCCUUUUGUCCCCUCCUCUCCAGCCAAGGCCCCCAAGGCGGCCUCCUCGGCCUUUGCAGACUUGGCUUCUGUAAGUUGAACUCCCAUCCCUGCGCCCUGCGCCACCUCCUCCUGCCCUUCGCUUGCAGCUUGGGGAGGGGAUGGUUUGGUUUUUGCUCUCCCUCCCCCGUGUCCCCUCUCCCCACUCCCACCCCAACCGGCUGGUUCCUGUCCCUCCGUUCCUCGUGCCUCCUGCCACUCGUGUUAUUUAUUCUGUCCCUGCCACUUGUGUAAGGAAAAGUGUUUGCAAUAAAAAGACCCACAGUCCGGACGCUGUAUGAGCAGGGCUUGUUUCCUCCAGCCGAGGCUGCGGGCGGGACCCCCGCUGUCCCACCCCGCACACGCGUGCGCUCCUCUCGCCACUCCCCCUCAGGGGGCCCCUGGCGUCUCCUGAUCGCAUCCAGACAGCCGAGACGGCCAACUCUGACGCAGGAUGCCACCAAGAGCAGCAGUGAUGCUAGGGUGCCGCCGUGAGCCCGGCCCCCACGCCCCUUAGGUGUGUUGGAGCUCCGCCCGGCAGGGAGUGCGGCUGGAAGGCCCAGCAGCUACCUGCACGAAGAACAGUUUGAUCUGCCCACGGAACAUGCAGCAGGGACACCUGAGCCAGCACGGCCACUCUGGCAGCAGCGAUGCCUGACCUGGCAUAGCCACAUGGACCUGGGACAGGCAAGCAGGAAUCAGCAAAGCCUUUGGCCAAGAGAAGCACCUUGUCACAUCAGAAGCCACUGGGGUCCCCCAGCCUGCGUGGCUGUCCUCGCCUCCUGCUCCACCCACUGGAUCCCCGAGAGCCACCACUGGGAUCCCACAGCCUGCGUGGCUGUCCUCACCUCUUGCUUCAUCCACUGAAAGCCGUCCUCGCCUCCUGCUCUGCCCGCUGGAUCCCCGAGAGCCACCACUGGGAUCCCACAGCCUGCGUGGCCGUCCUCACCUCCUCCUGCUCUGCCUGCCAGAUCCUGAGAGCCACCACUGGGAUCCCACAGCCUGCGUGGCCGUCCUCACCUCCUGCUCCGCCCGCUGGACCCCAACCCGAGAGCCACCGCCAGCCCUGACUUCCCAGAGUCUCCUUUUGGCAAUGAGGAACAGCAGCUGGCAUGGGCCAAGCGGGAGAGCGAGAAGGCGGAGCAGGAG